CGGAGUAACGCGUGAGGAACCUGCCUCAAAGAGGGGGACAACAGUUGGAAACGACUGCUAAUACCGCAUAAGCCCACAGCUCGGCAUCGAGCAGAGGGAAAAGGAGUGAUCCGCUUUGAGAUGGCCUCGCGUCCGAUUAGCUAGUUGGUGAGGUAAUGGCCCACCAAGGCGACGAUCGGUAGCCGGACUGAGAGGGUGACCGGCCACAUUGGGACUGAGACACGGCCCAA
rnacentral:rRNA from 1 species